AGAGUUUGAUUCUGGCUCAGGACGAACGCUGGCAGCGUGGAUUAGGCAUGCAAGUCGAACGGGAUCCGGGUUGGUAGCAAUACUGAUCUGGUGAGAGUGGCGGAAGGGCGAGGAAGACAUGAGCAACCUAUCCCCGGGGUGGGGAUAACUCAGCGAAAGCUGAGCUAAUACCGAAUGCGGCAUAUUUAACGCAUGUUAUAUAUGUCAAAGGUGGGGAUCGCAAGACCUACCCCCUGGGGCGGGGCUCGUGUGCCAUCAGCUUGUUGGUGGGGUAAUGGCCCACCAAGGCUUACGGCUAGCUUGUCUGAGAGGACGACCAGCCGCACUGGGACUGAGACACUGCCCAGACUCCUACGGGGGGCUGCAGUCGAGGAUCAUUCGCAAUGGGGGGAACCCUGACGAUGCGACGCUGCGUGGAGGAUGACGGCCCUCGGGUUGUAAACUCCUGUCAUGAGGAAAGAGACGAGGGCCGCUAACAGCGGCCUUAGCGGACGGUACCUCAAGAGGAAGCCACGGCUAACUCUGUGCCAGCAGCCGCGGUAAUACAGAGGUGGCGAGCGUUGUUCGGAUUUACUGGGCGUAAAGGGCGCGUAGGCGGCGCAGUGUGUCAGGUGUGAAAUCUCCGGGCUCAACCCGGAAAGUGCGCCUGAAACUGCUGAGCUUGAGUGCGGGAGGGGAGAUCGGAAUACAGGGUGUAGCGGUGAAAUGCGUUGAUAUCCUGUAGAACACCGGUGGCGAAGGCGGAUCUCUGGAACGCAACUGACGCUGAGGCGCGAAAGCGGGGGGAGCAAACAGGAUUAGAUACCCUGGUAGUCCCCGCCCUAAACGGUGCACACUUGAGGUAGGGGGAUUUCACCCCCCCUGUCUCGGAGCUAACGCGUUAAGUGUGCCGCCUGGGGAGUACGGCCGCAAGGCUAAAACUCAAAGAAAUUGACGGGGGCCCGCACAAGCAGAGGAGCAUGUGGCUUAAUUCGAUGCAACGCGAAGAACCUUACCCGGGUUUGACAUGUAACUGCACAUCCCAUGAAAGUGGGACUCCUUCGAGGGUGUUACACAGGUGCUGCAUGCCUGUCGUCAGUUCGUGCCGUGAGGUGUUUGGUUAAGUCCAGCAACGAACGCAACCCCUGUGUCCCGUUGCCAUCAGGUAACGCUGGGAACUCUGGACAGACUGCCUGUUUACGCAGGAGGAAGGUGGGGACGACGUCAAGUCAGUAUGGCCCUUACAUCCGGGGCUGCACACGUGCUACAAUGGUCGGUACAAUGGGAUGCUUGACCGCGAGGUUUGGCCAACCCCCAAAACCGGCCCCAGUUCAGAUCGGGGUCUGCAACUCGACCCCGUGAAGUCGGAUUUGCUAGUAACGGCGUAUCAGCUACGACGCCGUGAAUAAAAUCCCGGGCCUUGUACUCACCGCCCGUCA
rnacentral:rRNA from 1 species